rnacentral:lncRNA from 1 species
GUUGUUUGUAACCCCCAUUAUUUCUACCCUAACCCUUAAAACUAUUUUUACUGCAUGGGUAUAUAUAUGUGGGACUAAUUUAAUACAUAGGAAUUCAAGAGAAUGAUCAAAUAUGAAUAAAAAUAAUAUAAUCAAAAUAUAAAGUAAGAAUUAAUUAAUUAAAUGAAUUAAAUGGCAUAAUUGUAGUGAUUAUAGAUAAUAAUAAUUCAUCUUAUAUAUGGUUAAGCAUGCAUGUCUCACUGUGUAGACGCUAUUCUCCUGACCCGGAGUGUAUGUGUGUAUAUGUGUGUCUACUUACAGACUUUUAAACAGCUGUUGGUGUCGUUGGGCCCAAUUUCACGUUCUAACUGUUAAAUAAAUGUAGAAAUAUGCAAAAUAACAAAGAAGCGUUAUGAAGAGGUAUUUUACCAAUACCCUUCCAUGGACACAAUGAGACCGAUGAUGCACCCUUUUAGAAUCUAUUAUUAACUACGCAUAAAUUUCAUGUUUUUCUUCUUCUAUUUCUAAGUUAAUGUCUAGGAAUAUUUAAUACUAUUGAACAAUUUUCUUUUCUAUUUUUCUUCUUCUAUCCAUGAUUUUGCAUUAAGUUUUCUUUUCUAGAUUUUUGUGAUUCACUUUUCUUCCCUUAAGUGGCUUUUAGAAUGUCGGCAUCGAACAAUUUUAAUAACCUGAGAGAAGGAGAGAAUAGGUGACAUACGGUCAGGUGGGUCUAUUUAAGUGCGCAUAGGUCAGCCGCAAGGGCAAUGACCGCUGAGCUAAUUUUUCCACACCCUACAUAUGCAAGCACCAACAUUUCUUUACACAAGGCGCGGUGAUAUAAUAUAAUAGAUGGUUUU